rnacentral:rRNA from 1 species
AACGAACGCUGGCGGCAUGCCUAACACAUGCAAGUCGAACGAGACCUUCGGGUCUAGUGGCGCACGGGUGCGUAACGCGUGGGAACCUGCCCUUAGGUUCGGAAUAACUCCCCGAAAGGGGUGCUAAUACCGGAUAAUGUCUUCGGACCAAAGAUUUAUCGCCUUUGGAUGGGCCCGCGUUGGAUUAGCUAGUUGGUAGGGUAAAAGCCUACCAAGGCGACGAUCCAUAGCUGGUCUGAGAGGAUGAUCAGCCACACUGGGACUGAGACACGGCCCAGACUCCUACGGGAGGCAGCAGUGGGGAAUAUUGGACAAUGGGCGAAAGCCUGAUCCAGCAAUGCCGCGUGAGUGAUGAAGGCCUUAGGGUUGUAAAGCUCUUUUACCCGGGAUGAUAAUGACAGUACCGGGAGAUUAAGCGCCGGCUAACUCCGUG